UACGUAGGGGGCUAGCGUUGUCCGGAAUCAUUGGGCGUAAAGCGCGCGUAGGCGGCCCGGUAAGUCCGCUGUAAAAGUCAAAGGCUCAACCUUUGAAUGUCAGUGGAUACUGCCAGGCUAGAGUCCGGAAGAGGCGAGUGGAACUCCUGGUGUAGCGGUGGAAUGCGCAGAUAUCAGGAAGAACACCCGUGGCGAAGGCGGUUCUCUGGGACGGUACUGACGCUGAGACGCGAAAGCGUGGGGAGCGAACAGG
rnacentral:rRNA from 1 species